UGGGGAAUUUUGGACAAUGGGCGCAAGCCUGAUCCGGCCAUGCCGCGUGCAGGAUGAAGGCCUUCGGGUUGUAAACUGCUUUUGUACGGAACGAAAAGGUGCCUUCUGAUAAAGGGCGCUCAUGACGGUACCGUAAGAAUAAGCACCGGCUAACUACGUGCCAGCAGCCGCGGUAAUACGUAGGGUGCGAGCGUUAAUCGGAAUUACUGGGCGUAAAGCGUGCGCAGGCGGUUUUGUAAGACAGAGGUGAAAUCCCCGGGCUCAACCUGGGAACUGCCUUUGUGACUGCAAGGCUGGAGUGCGGCAGAGGGGGAUGGAAUUCCGCGUGUAGCAGUGAAAUGCGUAGAUAUGCGGAGGAACACCGAUGGCGAAGGCAAUCCCCUGGGCCUGCACUGACGCUCAUGCACGAAAGCGUGGGGAGCAAACA
rnacentral:rRNA from 1 species